rnacentral:rRNA from 1 species
AGGGCGCGAGCGUUGUCCGGAAUUAUUGGGCGUAAAGAGCUCGUAGGCGGCUUGUCGCGUCGGAUGUGAAAGCCCGGGGCUUAACCCCGGGUCUGCAUUCGAUACGGGCAGGCUAGAGUUCGGUAGGGAGAUCGGAAUUCCUGGUGUAGCGGUGAAAUGCGCAGAUAUCAGGAGGAACACCGGUGGCGAAGGCGGAUCUCUGGGCCGAUACUGACGCUGAGGAGCGAAAGCGUGGGGAGCGAACAGGAUUAGAUCCCUGGUAGUCCACGCCGUAAACGUUGGGAACUAGGUGUGGGCGACAUUCCAUUGUCGUCCCGUGCGCGCAGCUAACCGCAUUAAGUUCCCCGCCUGGGGAGUACGGCCGCAAGGCUAAAACUCAAAGAAUUGACGGGGGCCCGCACAAGCAGCGGAGCAUGUGGCUUAAUUCGACGCAACGCGAAGAACCUUACCAAGGCUUGACAUACACCGGAAAACUCUGGAGACAGGGUCCCCCUUGUGGUCGGUGUACGGUGGUGCAUGGCUGUCGUCAGCUCGUGUCGUGAGAUGUUGGGUUAAGUCCCGCAACGA